rnacentral:rRNA from 1 species
UACGUAGGGUGCAAGCGUUAAUCGGAAUUACUGGGCGUAAAGCGUGCGCAGGCGGUGAUGUAAGACAGUUGUGAAAUCCCCGGGCUCAACCUGGGAACUGCAUCUGUGACUGCAUUGCUGGAGUGCGGCAGAGGGGGAUGGAAUUCCGCGUGUAGCAGUGAAAUGCGUAGAUAUGCGGAGGAAUACCGAUGGCGAAGGCAGGUCUCUGGGCCAAUACUGACGCUCAUGCACGAAAGCGUGGGGAGCAAACAGG